CUCAACCUCGUGGGUUCAUACUGUUCCCAGGAGACACCUCCAGGUCUAUGGGUUGAGCGAAGGCAACCACCAGUGCCUUCUUACUAAUGCAUUCACUUUUCUCCCUAGGGUCCACAAGGAAUUCCUGGUAUAAUGGGACCAAAAGGGGAGAAAGGGGAGAUUGGCAGGCCAGGAAGAAAGGGUAGACCAGGUCCCCCGGGUGUCCCUGGGAUGCCAGGACCAGUAGGAUGGCCUGGACCUGUGGGACCGAAGGGUGAAAAGGGAGAGUUGGGUGUGAUGGGAUUGCCAGGUACAAGAGGACCAAUGGGCUCCAAGGUUUGUUAACCAAACGGUGCAUUUUCAGACAUUGGUUUCUAAUGCUCUGCUGACGGCUGCUUCCCUCGUGAAUUUGCUGGAAGGCAUUUAUCAAGAUAUAGCUUUUCUAAUAUAGCUAAAAAGAUAUGUUCUCCUUCAAGCAAGGUUAUGUUGUCUGGUUGGGCUUUGCUGUGUUUUUGGCUUUUCAUAAAAAUGCUUUGGUAUAAAUUACUGUAAUGCAAAACCUUAUUUUAAAAGCAAAACAUAUAUAAUUGUAUCCCACUAGAAAACUGGAGUUCUUAAGUGUAUCUGCGGCAUUAACUUGUGUCUGCAAUGUUUUUCACCCACAUCAUAAGACUAUGGAGAUUUUGGUCCUCUACUAAAACUCUGCAUAUGUAUUUCUCAGGUUGCCCAGAGAUGUGGUAUUUGCCCCAUCCCUGGAAACAUUCAAGGUCAGGUUGGACUGGGCUCUAAGCAACCUGAUCUAGUUGAGAGUGUCCCUGCUCAUUGCAGGGGGUUUGGACUAGAUGACCUUUAGAGGUCCCUUCCAAUCCAAACUGUUUUAUGACUCUAUGGUUUAUUGACAGAUGGAUAGUAAGCACAAUUUGGGCUGGGUGUUCUAGUAUCUGUACAUCAUUGCCUAUAGCAUAGCCUCUGCCUUCGAAAAUUUAGGCCACAAUAUUUUAAGGUACUUGAACAAAAUUCUGUAUAAAGGUCUAGAAAGAAGAACUGAACACUGUUGUUUAUUAUGUUUCUUAGAGAGAAACUCAGUUUUAUAGUAAUCUUCAUAUUAGAAGAUAACUUAAGUAUAAUUUAAGGAUGUUUCACAAGGGAAAAAACACAGAAGAGAAAGAUUAUUAGUAAAAUUAUUUUAGAUUAUUAAUUGUGGCAUCUAAGGCUUCAUUCACUUUCAGUUACAUUUUAUUUCCCUUGUUUCAAUUUUAAAAGCAAUAUCAAACCUGCUGGCUUUACCUGGCUUUUUCACAUUGGCUUUUGGGCUGAGUUGUCUUGCCUUUAAUUCAUAUUUCAC
rnacentral:lncRNA from 1 species